CAGGCCCGGCCUCCGCCUCCGCCACACGUGACCCGCGCCGCCGCCCGCGUCACGGGGGGCGGGGCCGGGGCGGGGCCUUGGGGCUGGCGGGGCGGGGCCGCGGGGGCGCCCAGGGCCCGCGGGGUGGGCUGCUCGGUGUCGCCCGGGGGGGGUUGCCCUGGGCUCAGGCGCUGGAGCCCGGCCCUUCGAGCGGGUGUUCUGUUGUUACAUCAGUUUUGAAUGAAAAUAAUUCAUUAAUAACGGAAGAUAAUGAGUGGCGAUCGUUUCUUUCGUUAAAGAAUUGAAAAAUUAUGACAAAUCCAAGCGUGCUGCGAGGCGGAGGAGCGGGCUGGGAGCGGACAGGCAGCCUGGAUUGCCCAGAGACCUCCAGGCAGCUGAGGUCCUCCCCUGGGAGGUGCACGCGCUGUUUAAUUUAUGGGUCAUCUUAAUUUCAGAGUAAUUUCCCUCUCAGCUUCUCCAGCCAACAAAAUUCCGUUUUAUCUGACAUCUCGCCUCCUCGCAUCAGCACCCUGCAGAUACCAUAUGACAGCAGCAGAGCUGUGCGAGUGGUUUAGCCAGCAAAGAAAAUUACGAUGAUUUUUUAGAGAGACUCCGAGGAUGCGAUGUUUUCUCUCCCUUUCCAGCAUAUGCUCAGAUCUACCUUUUUCCCCUCUUGGUCUAUUUUACCCUUUAGCAACACAGCACUAAAAAAACCCCACCCAGCUCUGUGCCGCUGCUUGCCCCGCACUGCGCCACCAGCAUCCCUCCGGCCUCAGCCUGGCUCCCCAGGCAAGGACUACAGGGACCACAGGGACAACGGGCACCGGUGGGAGAAGCACCUUGCUGGGGGGGUGACCUGCCUUCACACGGAGCACAGGACAGUUUCCCGGGUGUGCGGUUGUGAUCGCCACAGCUGCAGUCAGCUCCAGGCAUCACCUGCAAUUAUGAAACACGGUGCAGGCUCAGGACAGCACAGAAGAGAGUGCGUUGCAAGGUUUGGGGCAUCACUUCAUGGUUACUUUUUCUUAAAAGACUAGAGGUGUGAUACACCUGAU
rnacentral:lncRNA from 1 species